AUUAAAACAAAAAUACCUACUCUACAAGAUAUGGUAAUAUUAAAAAUGAUUUUUGUUGACCGUUGUCAUAUAAGUAAAUAUAUAUUUAUGAAGUAAUGCAAUUAAACAAUUGAGUAAAUAUAAAUAAAUAUGCGCUUACAAAAAACGAAAACAAUAUUACUCGGUCAUCACAGUCAAGUAUAGUGCUUUUUCAGAAGUUUCCAAAUAUUUAAAAUAUAAAUCUAACGAUGAAAAGGCACUCAGAAUUUGGAGGGAAUUUUUAUAUAUUAAUACUUCACAUCAAUUAGCUAUUCACGCCAAAAAGAAAGAUCUAACCGAGGAAUCAAAGGAUUAUCACAAUGAACAGUUGUUCUGGAUUGAAACUGCCCGGAUUAAUUUCGGGACCAUGCUCAUAAAAAUAUCUAUCACCUUUACGUAACCGAGAAAAUUGAUCAGAAAUUAUUUCACUAAAUGUUGGACCUAAUAAAGAGUCAUCUCUUGCUGCUUCUAAGAGCCCUCCAACAUACAAAUCUAUAUCAUCAGGAUGCUUGUAUACACUUGCUAAAUGAUGACCAACCUAUUGAAUAAUGGAAAAUAUAAUAAACGUGUUAAAAUCACAUACAUUUAGAAGAAAUUUCUUACAUCCGGCCCAUAUAAACUAAAAUCAUCAACUUUUUUAAAACCAAUAACUGAUAAAUAGUCAUUGUAAGAUCUAAGACCCCAGUCCCUGCCACGAUUUAUAUUUAUGGAAGCUAAAUCAAGGCCAAACGGUGCAUCACCCUUAAAUAAAAAUCUUGAAAGCCCCUUUGUAAAAGAUUCGUCAACUGAUUGCAUUGGUUGACUAUAAAGUGUUUGCAUCAUUUGAUCGUAAAAUGGUGGUUGUCGAAGACGGACAGGAUUGAAAAAAGCAUCAGGAAGUGUAAUUGUCUCAAACUGAUGAUUAGGUUGUUGAAUU